rnacentral:misc_RNA from 1 species
AAAGUCGUAACAAGGUAACCGUAGGUGAACCUGCGGUUGGAUCAUUAACAAAUGAUUUGGUUUUAUACCAAAACACUGUGUGCAUUUAUAUCUGUCUCUGGUUGUAUGGUGUUUCUUUCUGUCCGGUGCGAGUAAAAUUGCACUAGCCGAAAGUCACCGACAACCAAACGUUUGAACAAACUUUUGUAUUUUUUUUUUCUGUCUGAAUCAUUCACUUUUGUGCAAUGAAAAAACAACUUUUGACAACGGAUCUCUUGGCUCUC